GUAGGUGAACCUGCGGAAGGAUCACUAAAGAGAACUUGCCCUUCGGGGUAGAUCUCCCACCCUUUGUUUAUUAUACUUUGUUGCUUUGGCGGGCCUGCCUCACGGCUGCCGGCGUAAGCUGGCUCGCGCCUGCCAGAGACCUUUAAACUCUGAAUAUUGUCGUCUGAGUAAUAUAUAAUAAGUUAAAACUUUCAACAACGGAUCUCUUGGUUCUG
rnacentral:misc_RNA from 1 species